rnacentral:tRNA from 1 species
GCUGUUGUAGCUCAGGGGUAGAGCACUUCAUUGGUAAUGAAGAGGUCGGUGGUUCAAUUCCACUCAACAGCACCA